rnacentral:rRNA from 1 species
CCUAGGGAGGCUGCAGUGGGGAAUAUUGGACAAUGGGGGCAACCCUGAUCCAGCCAUGCCGCGUGUGUGAAGAAGGCCCUCGGGUUGUAAAGCACUUUCAGUGAGGAAGAACGCCUGGUGGUUAAUACCCAUCAGGAAAGACAUCACUCACAGAAGAAGCACCGGCUAACUCCGUGCCAGCAGCCGCGGUAAUACGGAGGGUGCGAGCGUUAAUCGGAAUUACUGGGCGUAAAGCGCGCGUAGGUGGCUUGAUAAGCCGGUUGUGAAAGCCCCGGGCUCAACCUGGGAACGGCAUCCGGAACUGUCAAGCUAGAGUGCAGGAGAGGAAGGUAGAAUUCCCGGUGUAGCGGUGAAAUGCGUAGAGAUCGGGAGGAAUACCAGUGGCGAAGGCGGCCUUCUGGACUGACACUGACACUGAGGUGCGAAAGCGUGGGUAGCAAACAGGAUUAGAUACCCCUGUAGUC